rnacentral:rRNA from 1 species
UACAGGGGGUGCAAACGUUGCUCGGAAUUAUUGGGCGUAAAGCGCGCGUAGGCGGCCACUUAAGUCGGAUGUGAAAGCCCUUGGCUCAACUGAGGAAGUGCACCCGAAACUGAAUGGCUUGAGUACUAAAGAGGGUCGCGGAAUUCCCGGUGUAGAGGUGAAAUUCGUAGAUAUCGGGAGGAACACCGGUGGCGAAGGCGGCGACCUGGGUAGAUACUGACGCUGAGGCGCGAAAGCGUGGGGAGCGAACAGG